GGAUGUCAGAUUAGCUAGUUGGUGAGGUAACGGCUUACCAAGGCGACGAUCUGUAGCGGGUCUGAGAGGAUGAUCCGCCACACUGGAACUGAGACACGGUCCAGACUCCUACGGGAGGCAGCAGUGGGGAAUUUUGGACAAUGGGGGCAACCCUGAUCCAGCCAUGCCGCGUGAGUGAAGAAGGCCUUCGGGUUGUAAAGCUCUUUCGGCCGGGAAGAAAUCGCAUGGGCCAAUACCCUGUGUGGAUGACGGUACCGGAAUAAGAAGCACCGGCUAACUACGUGCCAGCAGCCGCGGUAAUACGUAGGGUGCGAGCGUUAAUCGGAAUUACUGGGCGUAAAGCGUGCGCAGGCGGUUUUGUAAGACAGGCGUGAAAUCCCCGGGCUCAACCUGGGAACUGCGUUUGUGACUGCAAGGCUAGAGUACGGCAGAGGGGGGUGGAAUUCCACGUGUAGCAGUGAAAUGCGUAGAGAUGUGGGGGAGCACCAAUGGCGAAGGCAGCCCCCUGGGUCGAUACUGACGCUCAUGCACGAAAGCGUGGGUAGCAAACAGGAUUAGAUACCCUGGUAGUCCACGCCCUAAACUAUGUCAACUAGGUGUUGGGUGGGUAAAACCAUUUAGUACCGUAGCUAACGCGUGAAGUUGACCGCCUGGGGAGUACGGCCGCAAGGUUAAAACUCAAAGGAAUUGACGGAGACCCGCACAAGCGGUGGAUGAUGUGGAUUAAUUCGAUGCAACGCGAAAAACCUUACCUACCCUUGACAUGCCAGGAACUUGCCAGAGAUGGCUUGGUGCCCGAAAGGGAGCCUGGACACAGGUGCUGCAUGGCUGUCGUCAGCUCGUGUCGUGAGAUGUUGGGUUAAGUCCCGCAACGAGCGCAACCCUUGUCGUUAAUUGCCAUCAUUUAGUUGGGCACUUUAGCGAGACUGCCGGUGACAAACCGGAGGAAGGUGGGGAUGACGUCAAGUCCUCAUGGCCCUUAUGGGUAGGGCUUCACACGUCAUACAAUGGUCGGUACAGAGGGUCGCCAAGCCGCGAGGUGGAGCCAAUCCCAGAAAGCCGAUCGUAGUCCGGAUUGCAGGCUGCAACUCGCCUGCAUGAAGUCGGAAUCGCUAGUAAUCGUGGAUCAGCAUGUCACGGUGAAUACGUUCCCGGGUCUUGUACACACCGCCCGUCACACCAUGGGAGCGGGUUCCGCCAGAAGUAGGUAGCCUAACCGCAAGGAGGGCGCUUACCACGGCGGGGUUCG
rnacentral:rRNA from 1 species